GCCAACAUCACCGCCUGUCCAGUUUGUGCUGCUCCCAACUUUCGUACAGGUCAGUAAAACAAUCAGUUUUCUCAUUCAGAUAUUUUAUUUUAAAGAUAAUGCUCCAUCAACUGUAGACAACAAUGCUUGUGCAUUCAAGGAUUCGAAGUAGAGUGAAGAAAAUGAAGCAAGAAAGGAGUGCGUUAUGACUGUUGCUUAAGAUAUCAGGUUCACAAAUUAAAAUAACCUGGCAUAACUGAGUGACUUAGAAAACUUACAUCGGGAAGCUAAUGCAAUCACUCGUUGCUGGACGAGUUCUAUAUAAGGUCAUCAGAAAUCUGAUAAUCUUGGCAGAGUCAAGUUGCAAAAAUGGUAGAUUUGAUGCAGUGGCAACAGAAAAUGCAAAAUCCUUAAUGUGAUCAAUAUAAUCUACCUCAUUUUCAACUCAGCUAGGUCACCAAGUCAGAGGACAAAUGAUGAAGCAUAAACUUUUGAGUUUUCCAUUCUGAAUAUUCUACUGUUCAUUUUGUUUACUCUCUGGCGGCUAUUUAUAGGAUACUGCUACCUAGUACUGGCCUUCACAAACGGUGUUCCUACACACAAUUAAGUAACAAUCAAGGAAGCACCAACAACCCUCCUGGUGCUGCUGAGUAGCAUCAUGAUACUAACGCUCAUCUCAAACACCAUGUGCUAUCUCCAAUUUAUUAUUUUGUUGUGUAGUUGGACAAUGUUAUGACACAUUGCUGAUAAUCUGGGAGAUAAUCGUGUGUCACCUAAAUGCAAAUUGCUUUUGGUUUUGUAUAGUUGGACAUGUUGCCAACACGCUAGGAUAUACAUGUCACCAACAUAGGUCAAUGAUGUCAGGCG
rnacentral:lncRNA from 1 species